CAGCACCUCAAGUGGUCAGGAUGAUUAUUGGGCCUAAAGCAUCCGUAGCCGGCGCUGUAAGUUUUCGGUUAAAUCUGUACGCUCAACGUACAGGCUGCCGGGAAUACUGCAGCGCUAGGGAGUGGGAGAGGUAGACGGUACUCGGUAGGAAGGGGUAAAAUCCUUUGAUCUACUGAUGACCACCUGUGGCGAAGGCGGUCUACCAGAACACGUCCGACGGUGAGGGAUGAAAGCUGGGGGAGCAAACCGGAUUAGAGACCCGAGUAGUCC
rnacentral:rRNA from 1 species